GGGCCGGUGGUCUAGUUGGUUAUGACGUUGCCCUUACAAGGCGAAGAUCGGCGGUUCAAAUCCGCCUCGGCCCACCA
rnacentral:tRNA from 1 species